rnacentral:rRNA from 1 species
UACGUAGGCAGCAAGCGUUGUUCGGAGUUACUGGGCGUAAAGCGUGCGCAGGCGGUUUUGUAAGUCUGUCGUGAAAGCCCCGGGCUCAACCUGGGAAUUGCGAUGGAGACUGCAAGGCUUGAAUCUGGCAGAGGGGGGUAGAAUUCCACGUGUAGCAGUGAAAUGCGUAGAGAUGUGGAGGAACACCGAUGGCGAAGGCAGCCCCCUGGGUCAAGACUGACGCUCAUGCACGAAAGCGUGGGGAGCAAACAGG